UACAGACGGUCCAAACGUUAUUCGGAAUCACUGGGCUUAAAGAGUUCGUAGGCGGUCAGGAAAGUGGGGUGUGAAAGCCCUCGGCUUAACCGAGGAAUUGCGCUCCAAACUCCCUGACUUGAGGAGGCUAGAGGUAAGCGGAACUGAUGGUGGAGCGGUGAAAUGCGUUGAUAUCAUCAGGAACACCGGAGGCGAAGGCGGCUUACUGGGGCCUUUCUGACGCUGAGGAACGAAGGCUAGGGGAGCGAACAGG
rnacentral:rRNA from 1 species